AUUGAACGCUGGCGGCAGGCCUAACACAUGCAAGUCGAGCGGAUGACGGGAGCUUGCUCCUUGAUUCAACGGCGGCCGGGUGAGUAAUACCUAGGCAUCUGCCUGAUAGUGGGGGACAACGUUUCGAAAGGAACGCUAAUACCGCAUACGUCCUACGGGCGAAAGCAGGGGACCUUCGGGCCUUGCGCUAGCAGCUGAGCCUAGGUCGGAUGAGCUAGUUGGUGAGGUAAUGGCUCACCAAGGCGACGAUCCGUAACUGGUCUGAGAGGAUGAUCAGUCACACUGGAACUGAGACACGGUCCAGACUCCUACGGGAGGCAGCAGUGGGGAAUAUUGGACAAUGGGCGAAAGCCUGAUCCAGCCAUGCCGCGUGUGUGAAGAAGGUCUUCGGAUUGUAAAGCACUUUAAGUUGGGAGGAAGGGCAGUAAGCUAAUACCUUGCUGUUUUGACGUUACCGACAGAAUAAGCACCGGCUAACUCUGUGCCAGCCGCCGCAGUAAUAC
rnacentral:rRNA from 1 species